rnacentral:rRNA from 1 species
UACGAAGGGGGCUAGCGUUGCUCGGAAUUACUGGGCGUAAAGCGCGCGCAGGCGGUUCAUUAAGUUGGGUGUUUAAGCCCGGGGCUCAACCCCGGUUCGCAUCCAAAACUGGUUGACUUGAGUGUAGGAGAGGAAAGUGGAAUUCCACGUGUAGCGGUGAAAUGCGUAGAGAUGCGGAGGAACACCGAUGGCGAAGGCAGCCCCCUGGGCUAACACUGACGCUCAGGCACGAAAGCGUGGGGAGCAAACAGG